CAGCAGCUGCAAAUGACAUAACAUUUCAAAAAUCAUCCAAGACAGAAUCAACUAUAUUACAAUGUUGUUGUCUGAACUGUUCUUAAAGAUGCAUAACGACAGAUGAAAUGGAAUUUUCAUGGAGACUCAAAGCAAGAUGGAAGGAUAAAGAAGAAAAUGUGACAAUAGGAGAGAAUGUGCCUGGUGUGGUCUGACAAGUUCCCUAAAGUUGCAGGGCACAUCACAGCAUCACAGUCUACACUGCAUUUGGAUAAAACUCUGCUCCCCUUUUGUUUAAUGGAGUGUCAGAACUGGUCCUUUCACAAAUAUGUCAGUUAGAAGCUAUUAUAUUUGAUUUGUUAAAGAAAUAAUAUCUGACAGUUCCUCCUAUCACUAUUAUUACGUUCUCUCUUUUCUGUAACAAAAACAAAGAAGAGUUUUACUCUCAGAAUUGAUGGUGUUAAAAAAAAGCCAACAAAUCUAUCUUGGAUAUUUUAGUUAAUUUAAAGAGGAAAAUGUUCUCAGAUUAGUACAUCACAUCAUUUGGAGAUGAAAAAUUUUUUGAAAACUUUGCAUGUAACCUUGGAUAGGUAUUACAGUAUUACAGUAAAAAAAUCUUAUGGGGUAUGAAAUAAAUUAUACAGACAUAUUUCACUUAUAAUGUGUGCUACUCAGUUGGAUAUCUGUAUCUAACUUUAGAAAUAUCUGAAUCACCACAAAAAAUCCUUUGUUAAUAUUCAUUUAAGGUUUAGUAUAGUUUUUAUUAAAAUAGAUCUGCAAUUUCUGUAAUUUUAUAAGAAGCUUAAAUCAAGGCCAGUGAGUGAAAGGAAUGUAUUGCUUUGGGAUAUGCACUUUUCUGGGAGUAAAAAAAAAAAAAGGAGAUUUUUUUCUCUAGUGAGACUCUUUUGUCUCUUUGAGUAUAGUCAAUACAUCACACUUCAUCUCCUGAGGAUUGGCAAAGUUAUUCAUUCAGUGUCCUCUGUAAUCUGAUACUGGUCAUCAACAAUUUCAUUGAAGCAUAUAUGUUGCCAUAUCCAUCCUAUUUAAGCAUUCAUCAGAGAUACUUUUAUGAUGACAGCCUCAAGUUAUCAUGGAUUUGCAAAAUGAAGAUUGUUAAUUGCUGUUAGCUGUAGUAGCUAAUAUCCUGCAAGAUGGUAUCAGAUGCCAAAAUGAGCCGGUUCAAACAGUAAUCUUUUGAAAUUGACAGUUUAAAUUCUUCUGAGUUAUUCAUUAAAUAAGGGUGGUAUAAUAGCCUUUCUAAACAAAUAAAAACAAGGAAAAAAAGGCACACAAUGUAAUUUAGGAGAAAAAAAACCUGGCUAUAUUUAUCUAUACAGUUAAGUAAAAUAUUCUAUUCUUUUUAUGAAUAUAUCUUGUAUCACUAUGGAAAUUUCAUAAAUUUAAGUCUUUUACUCUAUCAUGCCUUGUUUUUUUUUUUAAAUGUCUUUUACACUGUAAGUAGUCAGAGUUGUGGUAGCCUUGAAGUGCCCUUUGAUAUUUCAAGUAUUCUCAGAUGUACAAAUGAUUUUAAGUGUAACUAUUUAAAAUUUCAGUUUUCAUUAGUAAACAAUCUCAUUAGUGUCUGCUCCUGUGUGCAUGAUCUUGUCUGAAAUAAUAUUUUGAGAAUGAAUUCAACAAAAACAAAAGGUAAGCUUAAAGACAAGUAUAUAAAUAGCACUAUAGAAAUAACUGUAUUGUCAUGUUUCUAGUUUUUCUUCUUAUAUUCUUUAGUAUGCCCUUAUAACAUUUCCAUUUUAUUAUUGGUCUAACCAGGUAGCUGUUAAGGUGUUAUUUAAGGUUAUUUUUUCAAGACGUUACAGUUACUUUAGAAAAUGUAUGCAAAAGAAUGAAUGAAUGGGCAUGAAUUGUCUUUUAUCUGGGAAGAAUUUCCUCUGCCAUGAUGAAUCUGAAUUAUGCCAAUCAUCUUUAUAAAAUCUACAAGUAUUCAUCCACCAUCACAAUUGGAGUGAUAGCUGCCGUUUAUCAUUACACCCUCAGCAAGUUUGCAGGAAACACCAUACUAAGUAGUGAUAUGACAGAAGGAAGGAAUACCAUCCAAAGGUACGCAGACAAGCUCAAAAAGUGGAUCUCUGUGAACAUAAUGAGGUUUAACAAGACCAAGUGCAAGGUGUUGCAAUUGGGUCAGAGCAAUCCUAGGCUGGAGUAAGACUGGGAGAAGAAAUCACUGAGAGCAGCCUAGUGGAGAAGGACUUGAAGGGUUCUGGUGAUGAAAAGCUCAACAUGAGCCGUCAGUGUGCUCUUGCAGACUGGAAGGCCAAUUGUAUCCUGUGUUAUAUCAAGAGAAGGAUGGUCAGCAAAUCAAGGGAGAUGGAUCACCGCAAUCUUAACGUUUCAGACAGCUUCCAUCAGUCUUUUUUUCUGAAACCUAAGCCUUCUUCCCCAAAUUCAUCUUUGUGUCCAUGAUCAGAUUUCUGGUCUUUUACUGAUUGAUCCAAAGAGAUACUAGCAUGGAACAGAUACUUAUAAAGAAUUUCUUAGUAGUCAUUUUCACUGGUGAAGAAAAGAAGAUAGGUAGUACUUCUUUUCUGUAUUGUCUGUUGGUGUCCCUCUGAACUAUUUCCUAGGGGCUGCCCGAUGUAAUGCCAGGUUUUGCUAACAAUGAAAAUGACCACUGCUAAAGUCAUGUCUCAAAAUAGAAAGGAAAAGAUUAUAAAUCUCCACUGUGAUUUCUUAUUUCCAACAAGAAAUCAACUUCAGUUGGAAUUAAACUAUAUUUUAAAAGAUAAAGUGGCUUUCACUGUGAUUUAAAUUCUUCAGAGUCUAAGGAGACCUAAGCCACAUGUAAGCCAUUUGAUAUAUGACUUCUUGUUUGGUGGAGAUAGGCCACAUCACAUUUGACCUUGAAAUUCAUUGGAAGCCACAUUCUGAAAGAGUCUGUUGGAAUUUAAAGGAAAUUCAUACAAACCUUCACUGAUCUAUUUGCAGCAUAGGAGUAUUUGAGCAACAAUGUUUAUUCCAUGAAUAGAGUUAGAACACGGACUCAAGCAAAAUUCAAAUUCCUCUAGGGCUUUAAAUGUCAGUGUUCCUUGUACAAGUGUCUCAAUAUAAAUUUAACACUGUUCCUAACACAUGUAUUGCACUAAUCCUAAAGUAUCUCAGAUUUAAAAAAAUAAAGAAAAAGCUAAGAAUUA